rnacentral:rRNA from 1 species
GGUUAAGCGACUAAGCGUACACGGUGGAUGCCCUGGCAGUCAGAGGCGAUGAAGGGCGUGCUAAUCUGCGAUAAGCGCCGGUAAGGUGAUAUGAACCGUUAUAACCGGCGAUACCCGAAUGGGGAAACCCAGUGUGAUUCGUCACACUAUCAUUAACUGAAUCCAUAGGUUAAUGAGGCGAACCGGGGGAACUGAAACAUCUAAGUACCCCGAGGAAAAGAAAUCAACCGAGAUUCCCCCAGUAGCGGCGAGCGAACGGGGAGGAGCCCAGAGCCUGAAUCAGCAUGUGUGUUAGUGGAAGCGUCUGGAAAGGUGCGCGAUACAGGGUGACAGCCCCGUACACAAAAGCGCAUGUGCUGUGAGCUCGAUGAGUAGGGCGGGACACGUGGUAUCCUGUCUGAAUAUGGGGGGACCAUCCUCCAAGGCUAAAUACUCCUGACUGACCGAUAGUGAACCAGUACCGUGAGGGAAAGGCGAAAAGAACCCCGGCGAGGGGAGUGAAAAAGAACCUGAAACCGUGUACGUACAAGCAGUGGGAGCCCCACCACCAAAGCAUUCUCUGGUGUUGAAGGCCCUGCAAAGCAGCAUCGCGGUGGCGGAGCGUCGUUUGCGACGCCCAACACACAAAACAAGCGGUGAAUGCUUUGGGGUGGGGUGACUGCGUACCUUUUGUAUAAUGGGUCAGCGACUUAUAUUCUGUAGCAAGGUUAACCGAAUAGGGGAGCCGGAGGGAAACCGAGUCUUAAUUGGGCGUUAAGUUGCAGGGUAUAGACCCGAAACCCGGUGAUCUAGCCAUGGGCAGGUUGAAGGUUGGGUAACACUAACUGGAGGACCGAACCGACUAAUGUUGAAAAAUUAGCGGAUGACCUGUGGCUGGGGGUGAAAGGCCAAUCAAACCGGGAGAUAGCUGGUUCUCCCCGAAAGCUAUUUAGGUAGCGCCUCGUGAAUUCAUCUCCGGGGGUAGAGCACUGUUUCGGCUAGGGGGCCAUCCCGGCUUACCAACCCGAUGCAAACUGCGAAUACCGGAGAAUGUUAUCACGGGAGACACACGGCGGGUGCUAACGUCCGUCGUGAAGAGGGAAACAACCCAGACCGCCAGCUAAGGUCCCAAAGUCAUGGUUAAGUGGGAAACGAUGUGGGAAGGCCCAGACAGCCAGGAUGUUGGCUUAGAAGCAGCCAUCAUUUAAAGAAAGCGUAAUAGCUCACUGGUCGAGUCGGCCUGCGCGGAAGAUGUAACGGGGCUAAACCAUGCACCGAAGCUGCGGCAGCGAACGUAUCACUUAAAGCGAUUCAGCGGGUUACGAUUGACGGAGCGAAGCGACGUCAAAGCGUAUACAAAGUCGAGUCGGUUUAAGGAUACGUUCGUUGGGUAGGGGAGCGUUCUGUAAGCCCGUGAAGGUGGCCUGUGAGGGUUGCUGGAGGUAUCAGAAGUGCGAAUGCUGACAUAAGUAACGAUAAAGCGGGUGAAAAGCCCGCUCGCCGGAAGACCAAGGGUUCCUGUCCAACGUUAAUCGGGGCAGGGUGAGUCGACCCCUAAGGCGAGGCCGAAAGGCGUAGUCGAUGGGAAACGGGUUAAUAUUCCCGUACUUGGUGUUACUGCGAAGGGGGGACGGAGAAGGCUAUGUUGGCCGGGCGACGGUUGUCCCGGUUUAAGCGUGUAGGUGUGUGUUCCAGGUAAAUCCGGUUCACUUUAACACUGAGGCGUGACGACGAGGCACUACGGUGCUGAAGCAACAAAUGCCCUGCUUCCAGGAAAAGCCUCUAAGCAUCAGGUAACACGAAAUCGUACCCCAAACCGACACAGGUGGUCAGGUAGAGAAUACCAAGGCGCUUGAGAGAACUCGGGUGAAGGAACUAGGCAAAAUGGUGCCGUAACUUCGGGAGAAGGCACGCUGACACGUAGGUGAAGUGAUUUACUCAUGGAGCUGAAGUCAGUCGAAGAUACCAGCUGGCUGCAACUGUUUAUUAAAAACACAGCACUGUGCAAACACGAAAGUGGACGUAUACGGUGUGACGCCUGCCCGGUGCCGGAAGGUUAAUUGAUGGGGUCAGCGCAAGCGAAGCUCCUGAUCGAAGCCCCGGUAAACGGCGGCCGUAACUAUAACGGUCCUAAGGUAGCGAAAUUCCUUGUCGGGUAAGUUCCGACCUGCACGAAUGGCGUAAUGAUGGCCAGGCUGUCUCCACCCGAGACUCAGUGAAAUUGAACUCGCUGUGAAGAUGCAGUGUACCCGCGGCAAGACGGAAAGACCCCGUGAACCUUUACUAUAGCUUGACACUGAACAUUGAGCCUUGAUGUGUAGGAUAGGUGGGAGGCUUUGAAGUGUGGACGCCAGUCUGCAUGGAGCCGACCUUGAAAUACCACCCUUUAAUGUUUGAUGUUCUAACGUGGACCCGUAAUCCGGGUUGCGGACAGUGUCUGGUGGGUAGUUUGACUGGGGCGGUCUCCUCCUAAAGAGUAACGGAGGAGCACGAAGGUUGGCUAAUCCUGGUCGGACAUCAGGAGGUUAGUGCAAUGGCAUAAGCCAGCUUGACUGCGAGCGUGACGGCGCGAGCAGGUGCGAAAGCAGGUCAUAGUGAUCCGGUGGUUCUGAAUGGAAGGGCCAUCGCUCAACGGAUAAAAGGUACUCCGGGGAUAACAGGCUGAUACCGCCCAAGAGUUCAUAUCGACGGCGGUGUUUGGCACCUCGAUGUCGGCUCAUCACAUCCUGGGGCUGAAGUAGGUCCCAAGGGUAUGGCUGUUCGCCAUUUAAAGUGGUACGCGAGCUGGGUUUAGAACGUCGUGAGACAGUUCGGUCCCUAUCUGCCGUGGGCGCUGGAGAACUGAGGGGGGCUGCUCCUAGUACGAGAGGACCGGAGUGGACGCAUCACUGGUGUUCGGGUUGUCAUGCCAAUGGCACUGCCCGGUAGCUAAAUGCGGAAGAGAUAAGUGCUGAAAGCAUCUAAGCACGAAACUUGCCCCGAGAUGAGUUCUCCCUGAGACUUAGAGUCUCCUGAAGGAACGUUGAAGACGACGACGUUGAUAGGCCGGGUGUGUAAGCGCAGCGAUGCGUUGAGCUAACCGGUACUAAUGAACCGUGAGGCUUAACCUU